GCCACUCGGCUAAGCUCCCCUGACCGCAGGGUGAGGACAGAGCACACACCACCAGGUCAGAGGCUCCCGCCAUCCUGUGGAUGAGAGAAGGCACUGGGUGCUGGGAUCAGGGUGACGGGGGGAAGACGGACCGAGGGAGCGGCAUCCUGGCAGUGCCCCGGGAGGGCUGCCCUUGCCUUUGCCUGGUGAAGUCCCCUUUGAAGCCUCUUUCCAGGCACCCCGUUUGUUGAGCCUUGCCCUGGAUUUUCACUGCUUAACAAAGUCUAGUUAGUAGCUGCCUUCAGACAGGCUGGGUGGGGCUUGGCCCCUGCACCUGCAGUGUCUGCCACAGUCGCAUCUGUGGUUCAUUCUGGAAAACCAUCAGCCGGAGCCACCUGCAGUUUUCUUCUCUUUUUCAGAUGCGACUAACACUGCCCUUGUCAGGACCGCCCUUGUCAGGACAGCCUGCAGGGUCCUUAGUCUCAGGUGGCGUCCCUGCAAAGCAGACCCCGAGACAAGGGUCUGGGCACAAGUGGCUGUUCUGGAGGGGAGUCUAGGAUUUGCUGCGAGGCACCGGGGGAAGCAGGAUGGGAAGCAGGGAGCCCGCAAAGCAACUCAGCCUGCUGGGGACCCUCCGAGAACAGAGGCCCAUGAUGUGCCGAGUGGUCCUGCUGGGAUGGUGGAUGGCGUUGGGAUGGGAUCCUGUGAAUAAAAUGGCGCAGACGUGCUUGUGCGGCUUUCCUGCUGGAGUCCAUGAGCGUCUCGAGGAUUUGCAUCCAUGUGCUCAUAAGCAAUGGGAGUGAAUGAAGAGCCAGGCCCAGCAACAGAGGGGAGCCUGCCCACAUGGAGCAAAA
rnacentral:lncRNA from 10 species